GGCUGCCUAGCGCAAUGGUAGCGCGUUUGGCUUCGAUAUAAUGUCUGGUACCAAAAGGUUGCAUGUUCGAGUCCUGCGGUGGUCA
rfam:Hypholoma sublateritium FD-334 SS-4 unplaced genomic scaffold scaffold_1, whole genome shotgun sequence.